rnacentral:misc_RNA from 1 species
GAUGAAGAACGUAGCGAAAUGCGAUACUUGGUGUGAAUUGCAGAAUCCCGUGAACCAUCGAGUCUUUGAACGCAAGUUGCGCCCGAAGCCAUUAGGCCGAGGGCACGCCUGCCUGGGCGUCACACGUCGUUGCCCCCCCAUCUACUCCUUCGGGAUUGCGGGGGGCGGAUGAUGGCCUCCCGUGCGCCUCGUCGCGCGGUUGGCCUAAAUGCCAAGUCCUCGGCGACGCACGCCACGACAAUCGGUGGUUGCGAAACCUCGGUUGCCCGUCGUGUGCGGUCGUCGCGCAUCGAGGGCUCGAAAAAAUUGCCGGGCUUCGGCUCGACUUUCAACGCGACCCCAGGUCAGGCGGGGUUACCCGCUGAAUUUAAGCAUAUCAAUAAGCGGAGGA